AGUUUUAUAUUCAACAAUGAUAUUAAAUUGCAAAUUUAAAGGAGUAAUUAAUUACUAAAACUA
rnacentral:tRNA from 1 species